UGUUUUGAAAGCAAAUUUAGGACUAUUGAAACAAGUUUUUGGAUCAGAAAGUAACAAGUAUAGAACGCGUAGACAUUUUAUCUUUCGGAUGAAGUAUUUAUCAUACCAUUUCGUUCAGUUGUUUAGGAGCUAUUAACACUCAAAAUCUCGGUCUCCGGCGUAACGCUUUCGUUUUCGAAACUUUGAUUUUACACCCCGGUAUAGAAAUGAAAGACGUAGUCCUACGUCAAAAGAAGAGUCUUGUGGACGGACAAUUCAGUAGUACUGGCGUGGAUUCGAGCGGACCCGAGAAAUUAUCGACCAUUUGUCGCAAAUCGAGUAGGCGAGAUUCAGGAAACUACGUCCGUGGACGAAUGGAGAUGCGUUCCAUCGGAAUACAACCCGGCUGAUGAGGCGACGAAGUGGGGCAGUGGGCCGUACUUUAACGAUGACAGUCGGUGGUUCAAUGGUCCGGAGUUUUUGCGCUCUCCAGAAGAUGAAUGGCCGAGUUUUAUGGAUCAAAUGUUGGACACAACUGAGGAAAUGCGACCGUCAAUUCUGUUUCAUACCACAUGGGAACCUAUGAUUGCCUACGAGCGUGGGAAAAAUUGCUACGCAGCAUGACUUACGUGAUGCGAUUUUCGAAUAACGCCGGUAGAACGAGUCAAAAACGUGGAGGUCGAAUAACUCAACAAGAGUUCGAAGCUGCGGAAGUCGAGAUUGUAAAACAGGUGCAGAGAGAGGCUUACGCAGAUGAAGUGUCGACUUUGAAAGCCAACCAAAUUCUACCUGGAGACGAAGCGAUUCGGAGUUGGCCUUGAAAUUAUAUGCAGUUCAAUCAUUCAUCAUAAACAAAUCGGAGAUAAGUAUUCGUUUUUUUUACAUCAUUACAUCAGUCACCUCGGUCGGGAAACUAUUUUCAUAUUCCCGCCAAGGAUAAACAUCAGUUAUAUUCUGUACAUUACAACACUAUUGACCUUUUUCCUUGUCUUUACAGCUGACAUGAUCCCAGACUCGUAAUACUUGUUUACCAAAAACCAUCCAAGCUAUGGGAUUGAAGGUAACGGCGAGUUUGUCGCUAAGAUUGGAAUCUUUCUUCAACACAUCAUCGACCGUAAAAAACUUAAGGGACACGAGAGAACAAAAUACGGAUGAAACGUGCUAAUUCUACCGUCAGUCUGCUAAUCAGCUAAUGCAAAUCAGAGCGAUGCAGCAGGAAGAGGAACGGGAACUUGCUUUGGAAAUGCUCAUCAAAUUGAGGUGGUUGAGGCUGCGAUUAAAAUUUGCCUCUUGUACGCAGUUGUUAGAAUGAUUCCAACGAGAAUUAUUGAUGUUGUUUAUAGAAUAAGUUAUAAGUAUAAUGUAUUCUAAGUAUGUAGAA